AGACCCGAAACCCGGUGAUCUAGCCAUGGGCAGGUUGAAGGUUGGGUAACACUAACUGGAGGACCGAACCGACUAAUGUUGAAAAAUUAGCGGAUGACCUGUGGCUGGGGGUGAAAGGCCAAUCAAACCGGGAGAUAGCUGGUUCUCCCCGAAAGCUAUUUAGGUAGCGCCUCGUGAAUUCAUCUCCGGGGGUAGAGCACUGUUUCGGCUAGGGGGCCAUCCCGGCUUACCAACCCGAUGCAAACUGCGAAUACCGGAGAAUGUUAUCACGGGAGACACACGGCGGGUGCUAACGUCCGUCGUGAAGAGGGAAACAACCCAGACCGCCAGCUAAGGUCCCAAAGUCAUGGUUAAGUGGGAAACGAUGUGGGAAGGCCCAGACAGCCAGGAUGUUGGCUUAGAAGCAGCCAUCAUUUAAAGAAAGCGUAAUAGCUCACUGGUCGAGUCGGCCUGCGCGGAAGAUGUAACGGGGCUAAACCAUGCACCGAAGCUGCGGCAGCGACGCUUAUGCGUUGUUGGGUAGGGGAGCGUUCUGUAAGCCUGCGAAGGUGGCCUGUGAGGGUUGCUGGAGGUAUCAGAAGUGCGAAUGCUGACAUAAGUAACGAUAAAGCGGGUGAAAAGCCCGCUCGCCGGAAGACCAAGGGUUCCUGUCCAACGUUAAUCGGGGCAGGGUGAGUCGACCCCUAAGGCGAGGCCGAAAGGCGUAGUCGAUGGGAAACGGGUUAAUAUUCCCGUACUUGGUGUUACUGCGAAGGGGGGACGGAGAAGGCUAUGUUGGCCGGGCGACGGUUGUCCCGGUUUAAGCGUGUAGGUGUGUGUUCCAGGUAAAUCCGGUUCACUUUAACACUGAGGCGUGAUGACGAGGCACUACGGUGCUGAAGCAACAAAUGCCCUGCUUCCAGGAAAAGCCUCUAAGCAUCAGGUAACAUCAAAUCGUACCCCAAACCGACACAGGUGGUCAGGUAGAGAAUACCAAGGCGCUUGAGAGAACUCGGGUGAAGGAACUAGGCAAAAUGGUGCCGUAACUUCGGGAGAAGGCACGCUGACAUGUAGGUGAAGUGAUUUACUCAUGGAGCUGAAGUCAGUCGAAGAUACCAGCUGGCUGCAACUGUUUAUUAAAAACACAGCACUGUGCAAACACGAAAGUGGACGUAUACGGUGUGACGCCUGCCCGGUGCCGGAAGGUUAAUUGAUGGGGUCAGCGCA
rnacentral:rRNA from 1 species